AUUAGAAUGGGUGGCUUUCGCUUGGACCCCUCCCCUAUCACUGUUGAUAACUGGAGCUUGGUAAGAGUAUCUGAAUAUGGAUAUGCAAGACUGCAAGCGACAAAGAAAGAAUUGAAAGUUGAGUACAUGAAUGCAAACUCAGGAAAUGUAAGAGACAGCUUCCAGAUAACCAAGGCCACAAGAAAGUAGACUUAGAUAGGAUAUCUCAGCUGAAUAUACUGUAACAAUAUGAAAAAGAGUAGAAACAUUCAUACAAAAAAUGUAUACUCCCAAAA